rnacentral:lncRNA from 1 species
GUUUAAUGAAAAAGAUACUUAUAAUGAAGAUGAGAUCAACGAAAUUUGCUCUGAUUGGACCACUUAUGUUAGUGACUUGAUUUGAAAAAAUAAAUGCAAAAGAGACAAGUAAUGCAGGUAAAUAGCAUAUGAUUCAAUUGAAGUACAUUAGUUUAUUGUUAAUAUUUUUCAUGCAUAGAUUUUUCCUUCUCUUUGUGCAUAGAUAUCUUAUGCUUUCAUUGCAUAAGGCAACUAUAUCAUCUAGUUGGAUUCAUAAUAAAAGCUCUCAGUUAAUUCAAUCAAAAUUUGGCAAUGCCUUACUGGUAACCAUGACUUACUUUUUUAACCUCUUCCUUAAACAGUAACAGUAGUAUAUGGCAGUAAUUUUGGUUUCUUAAUGUGUAGGGCUAUGCCGCGGAGUUAUAUAGAUCUCAAGACCAAGACACAUUUACAAUCAAAGAGGAUAUAAGGGUUAUAAAAUAUUAGAUCUAUUGGGUUAAUGGAAAUUUGUUUAAAAGCUUUUCUUUUUGUAUGUACAACGCUGCUAUGAAAAACUUUUGGACUGAUGGUGGAAUGCUAACUAUAGGCUCAAUGUAUAGUUUUAGAAACAACAUCUUAUUUUAGAUUUAUACUUAAGACAUUUGAUACAUUUAUACGUACAAUGCAAGUUCAUGUUAAUAUGAAUUCAGGUUUCCUAUGCUUUAUUAUGGUGUUUGAAGUUAGUGGAAAUUUUUUGAAUUUUAUCAAGUUUCAAUGUUAUAAUAUAUAUAAUGUGCAGCCCAAGACAAGGAAUUUCACUAUUGUAAUUUCUUUUUUUUUUAAUUAUAAUAUUUGAUUUUUUUAUCAAGUCAUUUUCAUU